GGCACCACCUUCCUCCAGCACCUCAUGGAGUUCGAGUGGAAGACCUCGAAAUAACACUCAGACACACACACACACACACACACACACUCAGACACACACACACACACACACACACACACACGUCACCACCUUCCUCCAGCACCUCAUGGAGUUCGAGUGGAAGACCUCGAAAUAAAUAACACUCACACACACACUCACACACACACAGCGCCACCUUCCUCCAGCACCUCAUGGAGUUCGAGUGGAAGACCUCGAAAUAAAUAACACUCAGACACACACACUCACACACACUCACACACACACACACACACACAGGGCACCACCUUCCUCCAGCACCUCAUGGAGUUCGAGUGGAAGACCUCGAAAUAAAUAACACUCAGACACACACACAUGGCACCACCUUCCUCCAGCACCUCAUGGAGUUUGAGUGGAAGACCUCAAAAUAACACUCAGAUACACACACACACACACGGCACCACCUUCCUCCAGCACCUCAUGGAGUUUGAGUGGAAGACCUCAAAAUAACACUCAGAUAUACACACACACACACACUCACACGUCACCACCUUCCUCCAGAACCUCAUGGGGUUUGAGUGGAAGACCUCAAAAUAAAUAACACACAGACACACACCAGCACACGCACACCCAGCAGACACGCAAUGCAAAUAUAACCUUGUUAUUUUUUCUCCCUCAUUUGUGAUGGUUGAACCUUGAAUUAAAUGUUAUUAAAUGAAUAAAAAGAAAGAAAAUAGACUUUGUUUUUAUUACAAUCUUGGAAUUAAAAGGACUAUAAAUAUUUUAAUUUUUUAAUUCUUUUUAACAACAUUUAACAGUAAGCCAAUGCGUCAGUUCAUUCCAGUAGUAAUUAAAACCUGAUUACAGUGGAGCUUUCUUGCUGUAAAACUGAUUGCAGUAGCUACUGUAAAGCCAAAAUGUUGAAACUUUCUGCCAACAGUAUCCAGGGGCUGCCGAUCUGAAGAUUGAAGGGGUGGAACACUUUCCCUUGAACUGAUUCUUGGUCUCAACCUGUUAUGUAUAUAUGGAAAGCUUAUUAAUAAAUUGCAAUAAACUGGCUUGUCACAACUGUAUGGGAGAAAGAGUUGAAGACUUGUGGUGUUGAGAUUCAUUGAGACUCUGUGUGGUUUAAUGUGUUUUCGUCAUCCAAAAAUCCAGCACCCCAGCUGAUACACUGGAAACGUAUUCACAAAGCUUAUGUGAAUCCUUCAAAAACAUACCAAGUGAAGCUGAUGCAGUCUCCUAAUUGUACUAAAUGUGUAUUGUGGAAUAAAAGGUAACAUAAAUACA